UGACCGUUUGAUAGAUCCGCAAAUCUCAGGCGUUUCAAAUCAUUUAUUUCAUAUUAAUCACAAUCUAAGAAAUUAAAAUUUUGUUUUCCACUCGAAUCCGUUUCUCACUGAGAACUGAGAAGAGAGUUAUCUGAAUCUGUAGUUUGCUUAGAAGAAGAGGAAACAAAGAGCAUAUUUUUUUUUACAAUGUUGAUGUCGAAUUGUGCGUCGGUGGAAGAAGAGACUAAGGAAUCUGAAUCCGUGGCGGCGAAGGAAGAUGACGCUGAUCAUCAUCCUUACGCGUUUCACGUUUCUGGACCGAGGAACGUAUCUUCUCCAAACUGGAGAGAUCUAAUCAAUUCCAGUUGGAAGGAUCCAAACUAUAAGAGGACAGUAAUGGCAUGUUUUAUUCAAGCAGCGUACUUACUUGAACUCGACAGACAAGAGAACCGAGACGAGCAAAACGCUCUCGCACCCAAAUGGUGGAUUCCUUUCAAGUACAAGUUAACGCAAACGCUGAUUGAUGAGAGAGACGGAUCCAUAUUUGGAGCUCUUCUUGAAUGGGACAGAUCUGCUGCAAUGGCUGACUUAGUCGUCAUCAGACCGAGCGGUGCACCAAAAGCAGUACUUGCGCUAAGAGGAACGAUACUCAAGAGCCUUACCAUGAGACGUGAUAUCCAAGACGAUCUCCGGUUUUUAGCUUGGGAGAGUCUUAAAGGCUCUGUGAGGUUUAACGUUGCUCUCGAAGCGCUGGAGUCAGUAGCGAAGAGAUAUGGUAGCAGUAAUGUCUGUGUUGUCGGUCACUCUUUAGGAGCAGGUUUUGCUUUACAAGUUGGCAAGGCAUUGGCUAAAGAUGGGCUGUUCGUUGAUGCGCAUUUGUUCAACCCACCUUCUAUAUCUUUAGCUAUGAGCUUAAGAAACAUUGGUGAAAAAGCUGGUGUUGCUUGGAAACGACUCAUGUCGAUGCUUCCUCCCAAAAACGAGCCUUUGGUACCAAAUGGUUGUGAAGAAGAGGUUGCUCCUGGGAGUGUUUCAGGAGGGUUUAGGAACUGGGUACCGAGUUUCUACGGACAGAAUCAGAAAUCUUCUGUGGAUUUGAGAAAAUGGGUGCCUCAUUUGUAUGUGAACGACAGUGACUAUAUCUGCUGCCACUACACAGACCAGGAUGGAGUGAACGACAAGGGAGAAGUGAACAACGACAAGGAGAACCAGAGUCCUGUUGUGAAGAACACUAUUCCUCAAGCAGCAGCAAAGCUUUUCGUGAUGUCAAAAGGGAAACAGAAGUUUCUCGAGGCGCAUGGGUUAGAACAAUGGUGGUCGGAGAAUCUAGAGCUUCAAUCAGCUAUUCACAGCAGCAGGCUGAUCACUCAGCAACUCCAGUCAUUAUACAGUGUCAAGUAAACAUCAAGCAACAGAACCAUCUUCAUCGUUCAAUAAACACUUUUGUUCCCUUUUGCUAUCUUUACGGUUUGACCUAAGAACAUUUUUUCCAGGAAAUGUAAUUAGCAUAAGUGUAAGAAAGAAAAAACAAGUUAAAAUGCACCGACCGACUGGCUUUUGUUGCCAAUACUUGUGCCAAUAACCAUCAUAUGGUUGUUGUAAGUCGCUUAUUCAUUUUGUUGACAAAAAAA